GUGUCAGCCGCCGCGGUAAUACGGAGGGUGCAAGCGUUAAUCGGAAUUACUGGGCGUAAAGCGUUCGUAGGCGGUUAUUUAAGUUAGAUGUGAAAGCCCCGGGCUUAACCUGGGAACUGCAUUUAAAACUGGGUAACUAGAGUUUAGGAGAGGGAAGUGGAAUUUCAGGUGUAGCAGUGAAAUGCGUAGAGAUCUGAAGGAACACCAGUGGCGAAGGCGACUUCCUGGACUAAAACUGACGCUGAGGAACGAAAGCGUGGGUAGCAAAACGGGAUUAGAUACCCCCGGUAGUCCACGCCGUAAACGAUGUCAACUAGCCGUUGGGCCUAUAUACAGGUUUAGUGGCGGAGCUAACGUAUUAAGUUGACCGCCUGGGGAGUACGGCCGCAAGGUUAAAACUCAAAGGAAUUGACGG
rnacentral:rRNA from 1 species